rnacentral:rRNA from 1 species
CACUGGUGACAGGUGGUGCAUGGUUGUCGUCAGCUCGUGUCGUGAGAUGUUGGGUUAAGUCCCGCAACGAGCGCAACCCCUAUUGUUAGUUGCCAUCAUUCAGUUGGGCACUCUAGCGAGACUGCCGGUAAUAAACCGGAGGAAGGUGGGGAUGACGUCAAAUCAUCAUGCCCCUUAUGACCUGGGCUACACACGUGCUACAAUGGCUGGUACAACGAGUCGCAAGUCGGUGACGGCAAGCUAAUCUCUUAAAGCCAGUCUCAGUUCGGAUUGUAGGCUGCAACUCGCCUACAUGAAGUCGGAAUCGCUAGUAAUCGCGGAUCAGCACGCCGCGGUGAAUACGUUCCCGGGCCUUGUACACACCGCCCGUCACACCACGAGAGUUUGUAACACCCGAAGUCGGUGAGGUAACCUUUUAGGAGCCAGCCGCCUAAGGUGGGAUAGAUGAUUGGGGUGAAGUCGUAACAAGGUAGCCGUAUCGGAAGGUGCGGCUGGAUCACCUCCUUUCUAAGGAA